GAUAGAUUAGCAACAGUGUCUGAUAGUAAGAUAGAAUAAUUUCAUCAUUAUAUUUUAAUGCAAGUUGUGUGAAUGUGAUCUUUCUGUUUCCAAGCUGCCUGGGUGUGGACAGCCUAGACUGCGUGAAUCCGCUGGACAAAGCAAUGAUUGACAUCGUUGGCAGGUUAGAGUGGGACAGAGUGAGAUUUUGUCAUGCUACUCAUAAUGACAAUGUAAACCUUAGGGAUUAUUUCUGGAAUUUUCCGUGAGUAUUUUCAGACUACAGUUGGCCACAGGUAAGCGAAAGUGGGGAAAGAGAAACUUGGGGUAAGUGGCACACUGGCGUGUUGGCCUUCAGAUGCGCUUGUCUGCCCUGUAAGUGUCUUCUGGAAGGGCUCCGUUGUUCCCCAGUCUCACAGGCUGUGUGUGUGUGUUUCCAAGACAAGUAUUUUGCACCUCCUCUGACUCCACCAACACCACGCCAAGCCUUGGAUUUUUGAGCUGCUAGUCCUGCCCACACUGUGCAGGCAGCUACCUAAAGCUCCUUUUUCUCUGACAGUUCCCCAUCUCUGUGUCAGGCUGCCCUGGGGCCUCACCCAUGGGUGACCCUCUGGUAUCAGUGCCCUCAAGACAGCUGCAGUUAAGCCCUAAACACUCCCAAGACCAAAGACGAUGCAGCCGAUGCAGUUACCAGCGAAGUUAAGUUUCGGUAAGUAUGAGCUUUUACUUUAGUACUUUCUAUUUUCUUAUUUAGAAAACAAAAUUCUGUUGCAGGAAAUGUGAACGUCCUCAAAAGAGAAGAGUGAUACAAGCCCACCUGCAUUUGCCACCCAGCUUGAGCAGUUACCACCUCAUUUCCCGUCUUGUCUGGCCUCUGUCACCGCCACACAUCUCCUUCAACAACUGAAUUAUUUCGAAGCUGAUCUCAGAGACUUUAUUUUAAUUCGUAGCUAUUUUCUAAUAGGCGAUAGUGAUGCGACUCAAAUUUAAAAGGUACAAAAGUCAAUAAGAGAAAAGCCACCCCUUGCUCUACACCUCCAUCCUACCAUGUAGUAGAUAAAAACAAAUGGCCACAAUUCUGUUCUGCUCCCAUUCAGAAACAGAAUCAAUUUCUCUACCAUGAAUUUGGACUUGGUCAUGUGAUUUGGAAGUGUUCUUGCUCUGGGAUUGCUCUCUUCUUUUUAAAUGUUAUUUAUUUGAAAGGCAGAGUUAGAGAGAGAGACAGAGAAACAGGCAGAGAGACAGAGAGAGAGAGAUAUCUUCCAUCCACUGGUUCACUCCCCAAAUGGCUGCAGUGGCCAAGGCUGGGCCAGAUUGAAGCCAGGAGCCAGGAGCUUCUUCCAGGUCUCCCACAUGGAUGCAGGGGUCCAAGCAUCCUCUGAUGCUUUCCAAGUGCAUUACCAGGGAGCUGGAUUGGAAGUGGAACAGCAAAACUCGAACUGGCACCUAGAUAGGAUGCCAGCAUCGCAGGCAGUGGCUUUAUCUGAUACACCACAGUACCAGCCCCUGGGCUUGCUCUCUUGCUCCCAAGAACUCCCAUGUUCUAGAAGCAAGAAGGUGGGCCUGACCUCCUGGAGAAGGGAGCAUGUGUGGGGAGGCCUGCCAUUCCAGCAGCCCACAGAAAUGUGAGCAGCACGCAUGGUGGUUAUUAGAAGCUGCUGAGUUUGGGCUGCCUUGGUACACAGCAUGCCCUCAGCUCCCAUACCAGCCCAGGACACUCUUUCCUGGAAUAACAGAAUCUUACAGUAUCACCAGUGUGUGAAUCCUACCCCAAAUAAUGUAUACAUGAACAAGUACAUACGUGUAUAUUGUCCUCCCUGUGUCCCCCACCCCUUUUUUCUUUUCUUUCUUUUUUUUUUUUUUUGACAGGCAGAGUGGACAGUGAGAGAGAGACAGAGAGAAAGGUCUUCCUUUGCCGUUGGUUCACCCUCCAAUGGCCACCAUGGCUGGUGCGCUGCGGCCGGCGCACCGCGCUGAUCCGAAGGCAGGAGCCAGGUACUUAUCCUGGUCUCCCAUCCCCCACCCCUUUUAUAAGCAAAUAAUAAUACACAGUCUGAACCUACAGGAAUCUAUCUGACAGAGCAAUGCGAAGAUCACCCCCAGAAGGGAUUGAGGAGCUUCCUUUAUAGGAUGUGUCCCCUAAACUUCAUAUGUUGGAGAUGGAAUCCGCAGUCAUCUGUUAAUGGCAGUUGAACGGUGAGAUCUUUGGGAGGUGGUUGUGUCAUGCCCUCAUGAGCGGAUUAAUCCAUUCACAGAUUCACAGAUUAGUAGAUUCUACAGAGAAUGGCUUUGUUAUUAAAAUGAGCUCUCUCUGGCUGGCUUGCUCGUUCCUGCCGUGCCGUGUCUGUCAUGAACAGGCAGGAUGGCCCCCACCCAGCGCAGAGCCGUGGCCAGCCUCCAGAAUCAUGUGCCAAAUAAACCUCUGUUCUCUAUAAACAGCUCACUCUCAGGUAUUCUGUUAUAGCAUCAGUAAAUGGACCAAGACACACUGUUCAGACCAUCUACUAUCUAACCACUCCUUUCUGGCUGUGCGUGCAGGUUGUUCCCAGUCUUCUGCUGUUGCAAGGAAUGCUGCAGUGCACAAGCCUGGACUCCACCAUUCUGCACAGGCGUAUUUGCAAAGGGUGAGAUCCUGGCUGUAGCGCACAGAGUUACAGAGAGAGAAGGAGAGGCAGAGAGAGGUCUUCCACCCGAUGGUUCACUCCCAAUUGGCUGCAAGGGCUGGAACUGCCAUACAAAUGGAACCCAUAUGAAGCCAGGAGCCAGGAGCUUCCUCUGGAUCUCCCACGUGGGUGCAGGGGCCCAGGAACUUGAGCCAUCUUCCACUGCUUUCCCAGGCAAUAGCAGAGGACUGGAUCAGAAGUGGAGCAGGCUGCCUUCCAAGAUGUGAUGUGGAAUCCUGCUGUUUCUGCUCCAGAAUAAAUCAAUGAUAAUCUUCAAGCCAGUGAGGGGCAAGUCAUGGGGACGAACGCCGUGUCCACAGCACUGCUAACAGAUUUCUUGGAAGCCAUUCAUAAGCACUUCGGAUUUGCCAGAUCGCUUGCUGAGCCUAAAAUACUGCACACUGUGGUGACCUUGACUCGGCUCUUUCCGUGAAUCCUCGUUUCCCUUAAGCCACGGCUGACAGUUCCAAGUCACACAGUGGGGACGGCGUGGCGGCCUCUGCAUUUCCACUAAUGGUCGUUGUCUGGCCUGGUCUGCUUGCUAUGUUCUGCUCACUUCCUGGCACUGACCGCCCUGGUGGGAGCAGCGAUGGCUGCAGAAGGGCUGGCGGCAGGGGGUGAGUGCGUGUGCCCUCUGAGGACUCGACGUCUCCUCUGGGACAACCUCCAGGCACCCGCUGUAAAGGUGUGUGUGUGUGCCAACCCGUGUUCCACGCCCGUGUCGAAGUGGCCAGCAAGCAGCCUCCGUGGCAAAAGCUCCAGCAAAACAGCUGGUGAGUGGGCCUCUAAAUGGAAGUGAUUUUCCUAGCACCAUGACAACAAGACACCCUCCACGCUAAUGGCCUUCAACCAUCCCUCGUCUUUCUCCGCUGGUUCCGGCUUAGGGUUCUUGCAGCUUAA